rnacentral:rRNA from 1 species
UACGUAGGGUGCAAGCGUUAAUCGGAAUUACUGGGCGUAAAGCGUGCGCAGGCGGUUUGCUAAGACAGGUGUGAAAUCCCCGGGCCUAACCUGGGAACUGCGCUUGUAACUGGCAAGCUAGAGUGUGGCAGAGGGGGGUGGAAUUCCACGUGUAGCAGUGAAAUGCGUAGAGAUGUGGAGGAACACCGAUGGCGAAGGCAGCCUCCUGGGCCAGCACUGACGCUCAUGCACGAAAGCGUGGGGAGCAAACAGG